UUUUGCCGAUCCGCACACAUUGGAAUUUCGCUAACUCCUCCAAAGGCUUUCGUUCCACCGGCACCACAUUUGCUCAGGCCAAUCUACACCCCAUGGCCAUUACAAGUUAUCAAAAUCAUGACGCUGCACCCCAAGGUUUAGGUUCUAGGGGGCGCCAAAGAUAACACUAAAAUCCACAUAUUUAAAAGUCUUAUAACUUUUUAUUUUUGUCCUCACUGGCCUCCAAGUUUUCUAGGAUGAUGCAAUGUCCAGCCAUCAACAAAUUUGUGAAGGAAUUUUUACUCCCCAAAAGAGCGCCCCCCCAUGGCAGGAGAAAAAAGUCAAUUUUUUCUUGUCCCCUAAGGUGAAAAUACACAUUGUUGAGUGUCACGCCUAUACGCUUUGUCAAAAUGACACAAAAAUUGACACACACAUGUAACUCAAUAAGAUCUACGAAAAAGUCAAUGCGCGCGUAUCUGUCAAAUGUACGGUUAAAGGGUUAUUCCGCAUUUUUUGCCGAUCUGCACACAUUGGAAUGUGGCUAACUCCUCCGAAGGCUUUAGUUCCACCGGCACCACAUUUGCUCAGGCCAAUCUACACCCCAUGGCCAUUAAAAGUUAUUCAAAUCAUGACGCUGCACCCCACGGUUUACGUUCUAGGGGGCGCCAAAGAUAACCCUAAAAUCCACAUAUUUAAAAGUCUUAUAACUUUUUAUUUUUGCCCUCACUGGCCUCCAAGUUUUCUAGGAUGAUGCAAUGUCCAGCCAUCAACACAUUUGUGAAGGAAUUUUUACUCCCCAAAAGAGCGCCCCCCCAUGGCAGGAGAAAAAAGUCCAUUUUUUCUUGUCCCCUAAGGUGAAAAUACACAUUGUAGAGUGUCACGCCUGUACGCUUUGUCAAAAUGACACAAAAUUUGACAUACACGUGUAUUUCAAUAAGAUCUUCGAAAAAGUCAAUAGCCACGUAUAUGUAAAAUGUACAGUUAAAGGGUUAUUUCACAUUUGUUGCAGAUCCGCAUACAUUGGAAUUUGGCUAACUCCUCCUAAGGCUUUCGUCCCACUGACACCAAAUUUGCUCAGGCCAAUCUACACCCCAUGGCCAUUCAAAGUUGUAAAAAUCAUGACGCUGCACCCCACGGUUUACGUUCUAGGGGGCGCCAAAGAUGACCCAAAUAUCCACAUUCUUAAAAGAAUCCACACCCCCCCCCCAUCCCCCAUCCCCCAUGGCAGGAGAAACAGUCAAGUUUUUCCUUCCCAUCACUCAAUGGCUCAAUCGCAUCACUCUCCCGGCAACACCGUAACGAGGAGCAACUUGCCGUUUGGAUAUAUCCUAGCUGUGUUUGUGCCCUCACUCAUGGUCCAGACUUUUUUCAAAUAGGACAUGUAGUUUGUCUGCAGCGAGUGUUUUGGUAGAAACUGCGCCUCCCAUUCAUUAUAAUGGGAAAUGACCACAGACAAGUGCGCACACCAUCUUUGGACCUUGAGUGUGACGCGAUCGGGAGGGGGAGGCGGUCGCGCUGGGGGCGGCGCAACGCGGCUCGGGCCCGACAGUGCCCCACCGGGGUCCUAGUUUCUUUUUCCUCCCCUUUGAACUGGAAAAUGGCCCACUUCCCACUGGCGAAAACUCAUGAAAUUUGGCAGGACGACCGGGCCUGGUGAAAAAUUUGAUAUUCCGAAGUCGCCCAAACAAGAAAAUGCAAAAUGGCUCCAUAGCGCCCCCUAAGGUGAAAAUUCACACUAUUGACUGUCACGCCUGUACGCUUUGUCAAAAUGACACAAAAAUUGACACACACAUGUAUCUCAAUAAGAUCUACAAAAUAGUCAGUGCGGCCGUAUCUGUCAAAUGUACGGUUAAAGGGUUAUUUCGCAUUUUUUGUAGAUCCGCACACAUUGGAAUUUCGCUAACUCCUCCGAAGGCUUUCGUUCCACCGGCACCACAUUUGCUCAGGCCAAUCUACACCCCAUGGCCAUUAAAAGUUAUUCAAAUCAUGACGCUGCACCCCACGGUUUAGGUUCUAGGGGGCGCCAAAGAUAACCCUAAAAUCCACAUAUUUAAAAGUCUUAUAACUUUUUAUUUUUGCCCUCACUGGCCUCCAAGUUUUCUAGGAUGAUGCAAUGUCCAGCCAUCAACACAUUUGUGAAGGAAUUUUUACUCCCCAAAAGAGCGCCCCCCCAUGGCAGGAGAAAAAAGUCCAUUUUUUCUUGUCCCCUAAGGUGAAAAUACACAUUGUUGAGUGUCACGCCUGUACGCUUUGGCAAAAUGACACAAAAAUUGACACACACAUGUAUCUCAAUAAGAUCUACAAAAAAGUCCACGCGCGCGUAUCUGUCUAAUGUACGGUUAAAGGGUUAUUCCGCAUUUUUUGCCGAUUCGCACACAUUGGAAUUUCGCUAACUCCUCCGAAGGCUUUCGUUCCACCGGCACCACAUUUGCUCAGGCCAAAUUACACCCCAUGGCCAUUAAAAGUUAUUCAAAUCAUGACGCUGCACCCCACGGUUUACGUUCUAGGGGGCGCCAAAGAUAACCCAAAAAUCCACAUUUUUAAAAGUCUUUUAACUUUUUAUUUUUGUCCUCACUGGCCUCCAAGUUUUCUAGGAUGAUGCAAUGUCCAGCCAUCAACACAUUUGUGAAGGAAUUUUUACUCCCUAAAAGAGCGCCCCCCAUGGCAGGAGAAAAAAGUCCAUUUUUUCUUGUCCCCUAAGGUGAAAAUACACAUUGUUGAGUGUCACGCCUGUACGCUUUGGCAAAAUGACACAAAAAUUGACAAUCAUGUGUAUCUCAAUUAGAUCUACGAAAAAGUCAAAGAGCGCGUAUCUGUAUAAUGUACGGUAAAAGGGCUAUUUUGCAUUUUUUGCCAAUUCGCACACAUUGGAAUGUGGCUAACUCCUCCUAAGGCUUUCGUCCCACUGACACCAAAUUUGCUCAGGCCAAUCUACACUCCAUGGCCAUUCAAAGUUGUAAAAAUCAUGACGCUGCACCCCACGGUUUACGUUUUAGGGGGCGCCAAAGAUGACCCAAAUAUACAUUACAGUAGACAAAGUAGUUUUGCCCACUGAGUGGCGCCAAAGGGACUUGUCUGUGGAGUCUGUGAGUCACUAUUGGCCGUUUUUGACUACUUUAGAUUUUACCUUUAUAUUUCCUCUUACAAAAUUUUUACCUUGCCUUGCCUGGUAUCAUUUUUUUCAGCACAACCUCACCUGUCUCAAUUUACAGUUAUUUUAUCAUUUUGACAUACUAUAUUUACACAUUGGACCCAAAUUCACACACAAAACAUAAAAUCCGAGUGGAAAAAAGUAACGUUUUUACUGUGAAAACCACAAAUAUGUGUGAUGAACUGUUUUUAAAACUUAAACUUCAAAUAAAAAUUGUAAACUUCAAAACAUAUGCAAAUUUUUAACAAAGAACAUAGUAAUUUACCUCUAUUGACAUCAAAAUGCAGGCAAUGGCCCAGGUGUUCUUUGUAAAAUUAUUUACAAAACACUGUAUAGUCUCACAAAUGUCACUUUUUAUUUAUGCCACUACAAAAAAACAUGAUGUAAAUGAUGCAUGAUGUAAAACAUGAUGUAAAAAACUUGUGUAAAUCCUCCUCUAUGUUAGUCCAUGUGUAAUUUUUCCAUAAUUCUUUGUUUUUUGCAGCAUUUUUGUUAGUGUAACUGCAGAUUGUGCUGACAGUGUCUAUGGCAAAAAAAAAAAAAAAAACUGAAAAUGCCUCAACAUGAACCCCUGGUGGUCUCUGAGGGUGAAACCUGCUAACUGCUGCAGCUCUGUCAGCUUCAGUCUCCCAUGCAGAGCUCGGAGCGCAUGUGUGGCUCUGCACCCUUAGCAGUGUUGCUAACUCCUCAGUAAGGAAAGCCUGCUUCAUGUCAGAGUCUCUAAACUCCAGAAGAAGUCGAUAAAAGUCCCUUUCUUUCUAAAAAAAAGUCGUUAGGGGGUCUGAAAAGUCAUUGAAUCUAACAACAAAGUCGCUAGGUUUGCAACUACGUGUCCCAGACUGCAUCCCUGCUGAGAGUCCCUCCCUCCCUUCUCAUAUUGCAGGAAGAACGUAAGUUCCCGCCCCUUGUCAAUCAGUCACCAUAUAAUUUUGGAUUGGUUGUUGUGGUGAAGUUUUCCACCAAUAGGAGAGAUGUUGUGGUGUGUUUUUUUUUUCCUUUGGCAAGCCUUUUCCGCCUGUAAGACCUGUCGCUAAUGUCUGCAUGCUAUGUUUUCCUGUCUCAUACAGCGCGAUCGAGCGCCGAACGUGAUCAAAAUAAGCAGAAAACAAGUAUCGCGGACAUAAUUUAUCAUAACUCUGGUUUUAUUUGGCCUAUCAACACAAUUUAAAAACUGGUAUAUAGGUUGAGGUCCUCACUUUUGAGAUAAAUUGAAACGGAGAGUCAACGAGGCUCCGUCUUGCAGCUACAUCCGGUUAAAUAUGUCAUGUGACUUGAACGCACACACACACACACACACACACACACAGACACACACACACACGCACACACACACACACUCAGAGUCUGGUUUUUAGCACCUGAAAAAACAUGCUAUUUACAUAUUUGACAAGAAUGCAGAGGCUCCUUUUGCCCCUGAAAAAAAUCAAAUUUCAAACACAACUUGACUGGUCAUUUCUCCAAAAGACAACCAUGAAGCUCCAUCCAAACCUGAAGCAGGCAGUUGGUGCAUGUGUACAGUUACCUGAGGGGAGUGAGGUGACUGCUUCUGAGGAGAACAUGAGCAGUGAAGAUUCACCUUAGAGCUAGAACAGAGACGUGCACAUGAUUAUACAGGGGCAGGGGCUCAAGUUUUUUCCAGUUGUUUAUACAAUAUGGAAAUUAAUGUGAAAUUAAAAAACAAAGUAUUAAUAGAAAGGUAAUGACUGUCCUGUGUAGGUGACAGUGAUAUCCAAUAGGCUAGGCACUCACGAGGCUGGCUGUGGCAAGUGUAAGUGAAAGCAACACGCACUGGCAGGAAGAACAGCAAACGCAGAUGAAGGAAAAGGGUCUUUGCAGUGAUGGGCGUUACCAGAGAGGGCGAUGGCCAGAGGACACAAAUGGGACGGGGAGGCAGCGCGUUGGGGGGGGGACGCGACACAGCUCGGGCCCGCCAGUGCCCCAACGGGGUCCUAGUCUUUGUUUCUUUCUUUCUUUCUUUAGGGCCCGAGCGUAGCUGCUAAGCAGCUGCGAGAGCCCUCUUGUUCCUGCAUGUUUCCUUCUUUUGUUAUUAUUAGGGCCCGAGCGUAGCUGCUAAGCAGCUGCGAGAGCCCUAUUAUUCCCCAAGUGGUUUUUCUUUGUUUCUUUUUAGGGCCCGAGCGUAGCUGCUAAGCAGCUGCGAGAGCCCUAUUAUUCCCCAAGAGGUUUUUCUUUGUUUCUUUCUUUCUUCUUUUUCCUCCCCUUUGAACUGGAAAAUGGCCCACUUCCCACUGGCGAAAACUCAUGAAAUUUGGCAGGAUGACCGGGCCUGGUGAAAAAUUUGAUAUUCCGAAGUCGCCCAAACAAGAAAAUGCAAAAUGGCUCCAUAGCGCCCCCUAAGGUGAAAAUUCACACUAUUGACUGUCACGCCUUUACGCUUUGUCAAAAUGACACAAAAAUUGACACACAUAUGUAUCUCGAUAAGAUCUACAAAAAAGUCAGUGCGGGCGUAUCUGUCAAAUGUACGGUUAAAGGGUUAUUCCGCAUUUUUUGCCGAUCCGCACACAUUGGAAUUUCGCUAACUCCUCCGAAGGCUUUCUUUCCACCGGCACCACAUUUGCUCAGGCCAAUCUACACCCCAUGGCCAUUAAAAGUUAUUCAAAUCAUGACGCUGCACCCCACGGUUUAGGUUCUAGGGGGCGCCAAAGAUAACCCUAAAAUCCACAUAUUUAAAAGUCUUAUAACUUUUUAUUUUUGCCCUCACUGGCCUCCAAGUUUUCUAGGAUGAUGCAAUGUCCAGCCAUCAACACAUUUGUGAAGGAAUUUUUACUCCCCAAAAGAGCGCCCCCCCAUGGCAGGAGAAAAAAGUCCAUUUUUUCUUGUCCCCUAAGGUGAAAAUACACAUUGUUGAGAUUCACGCCUAUACGCUUUGUCAAAAUGACACAAAAAUUGACACACACAUGUAACUCAAUAAGAUCUACGAAAAAGUCAACGCGCGCGUAUCUGUCAAAUGUACGGUUAAAGGGUUAUUCGGCAUUUUUUGCCGAUCCGCACACAUUGGAAUGUGGCUAACUUCUCCUAAGGCUUUCGUUCCACCGGCACCACAUUUGCUCAGGACAAUCUACACCCCAUGGCCAUUAAAAGUUAUUCAAAUCAUGACGCUGCACCCCACGGUUUAGGUUCUAGGGGGCGCCAAAGAUAACCCUAAAAUCCACAUAUUUAAAAGUCUUAUAACUUUUUAUUUUUGUCCUCACUGGCCUCCAAGUUUUCUAGGAUGAUGCAAUGUCCAGCCAUCAACACAUUUGUGAAGGAAUUUUUACUCCCCAAAAGAGCGCCCCCCAUGGCAGGAGAAAAAAGUCCAUUUUUUCUUGUCCCCUAAGGUGAAAAUACAUAUUGUUGAGAUUCACGCCUAUACGCUUUGUCAUAUUGACACAAAAUUUGACAAUCACGUGCCUUGCCUGGUAUCAUUUUUUUCAGCACAACCUCACCUGUGCGAAUUUACAGUUAUUUUAUCAUGUUGACAUACUGAAUUUACACAAUGGACCCAAAUUCACACACAAAACAUAAAAUCCGAGUGGAAAAAAGUAACAUUUUUACUGUGAAAACCACAAAUAUGUGUGAUGAACUGUUUUUAAAACUUAAACUUCAAAUAAAAAUUGUAAACUUCAAAACAUAUGCAAAUUUUUAACAAAGAACAUAGUGAUUUACCUCUAUUUUCAUCAAAAUGCAGGCAAUGGCCCAGGCGUUCUUUGUAAAAUUAUUUACAAAACACUGUAUAGUCUCACAAAUGUCACUUUUUAUUUAUGCCACUACAAAAAAACAUGAUGUAAAUGAUGCAUGAUGUAAAACAUGAUGUAAAAAACUUGUGUAGAUCCUCCUCUAUGUCAGUCCAUGUGUAAUUUUUCCAUAAUUCUUUGUUUUUUGCAGCAUUUUUGUUAGUGUAACUGCAGAUUGUGCUGACAGUGUCUAUGGCACAAAAAAAAAAAAAAAUUAAAAUGCCUCAACAUGAACCCCUGGUGGUCUCUGAGGGUGAAACCUGCUAACUGCUGCAGCUCUGUCAGCUUCAGUCUCCCAUGCAGAGCUCUGAGCGCAUGUGUGGCUCUGCACCCUUAGCAGCGUUGCUAACUCCUCAGUAAGGAAAGCCUGCUUCAUGUCAGAGUCUCUAAACUCCAGAAGAAGUCGAUAAAAGUCCCUUUCUUUCUAAAAAAAGUCGUUAGGGGGUCUGAAAAGUCAUUGAAUCUAACAACAAAGUCGCUAGGUUUGCAACUACGUGUCCCAGACUGCAUCCCUGCUGAGAGUCCCUCCCUCCCUUCUCAUGUUGCAGGAAGAACGUAAGCACCCGCCCCUUGUCAAUCAGUCACCAUAUAAUUUUGGAUUGGUUGUUGUGGUGAAGUUUUCCACCAAUAGGAGAGAUGUUGUGGUGUGUUUUUUUUUUCUUUUGGCAAGCCUUUUCCGCCUGUAAGACCUGUCGCUAAUGUCUGCAUGCUAUAUGUUUUCCUGUCUCAUACAGCGCGAUCGAGCGCCGAACGUGAUCAAAAUAAGCAGAAAAAAAGUAUCGCGGACAUAAUUUAUCAUAACUCUGGUUUUAUUUGGCCUAUCAACACAAUUUAAAAACUGGUAUAUAGGUUGAGGUCCUCACUUUUGAGAUAAGUUGAAACGGAGAGUCAACGAGGCUCCGUCUUGCAGCUACAUCCGGUUAAAUAUGUCAUGUGACUUGAACGCACACACACACACGCACACACACACACACACACACACACACACACACACACACACACACACACACUCAGAGUCUGGUUUUUAGCACCUGCAAAAACAUGCUAUUUACAUAUUUGACAAGAAUGCAGAGGCUCCUUUUGCCCCUGAAAAAAAUCAAAUUUCAAACACAACUUGACUGGUCAUUUCUCCAAAAGACAACCAUGAAGCUCCAUCCAAACCUGAAGCAGGCAGUUGGUGCAUGUGUACAGUAACCUGAGGGGAGUGAGGUGAGUGCUUCUGAGGAGAACAUGAGCAGUGAAGAUUCACCUUGGAGCUAGAACAGAGACAUGCACAUGAUUAUACAGGGGCAGGGGCUCAAGUUUUUCCAGUCGUUUAUACAAUAUGGAAAUUAAUGUGAAAUUAAAACACAAAGUAUUAAUAGAAAGGUAAUGACUGUCCUGUGUAGGUGACAGUGAUAUCGAAUAGGCUAGGCACUCACGAGGCUGGCUGUGGCAAGUGUAAGUGAAAGCAACACGCACUGGCAGGAAGAACAGCAAACGCCGAUGAAGGAAAAGGGUCUUUGCAGUGAUGGGCGUUACCAGAAAGGGCGAUGGCCAGAGGACACAAAUGGGACGGGAAGGCAGCACGUUGGGGGGGGGGGGACGCGAUAUGGCUCGGGCCCGCCAGUGCCGCAACGGGGUCCUAGUUUCUUUUUCCUCCCCUUUGAACUGGAAAAUGGCCCACUUCCCACUGGCGAAAACUCAUGAAAUUUGGCAGGACGACCGGGCCUGGUGAAAAAUUUGAUAUUCUGAAGUCGCCCAAACAAUACAAUGCAAAAUGGCUCCAUAGCGCCCCCUAAGGUGAAAAAUUCACCUGACGCCUGUACGCUUUGUCAAAAUGACACAAAAAUUGACACACACAUGUAUCUCAAUAAGAUCUACAAAAAAGUCAGUGCGGGCGUAUCUGUCAAAUGUACGGUUAAAGGGUUAUUGCGCAUUUUUUGCCGAUCCGCACACAUUGGAAUUUCGCUAACUCCUCCGAAGGCUUUCGUUCCACCGGCACCACAUUUGCUCAGGCCAAUCUACACCCCAUGGCCAUUAAAAGUUAUUCAAAUCAUGACGCUGCACCCCACGGUUUAGGUUCUAGGGGGCGCCAAAGAUAACCCUAAAAUCCACAUAUUUAAAAGUCUUAUAACUUUUUAUUUUUGCCCUCACUGGCCUCCAAGUUUUCUAGGAUGAUGCAAUGUCCAGCCAUCAACACAUUUGUGAAGGAAUUUUUACUCCCCAAAAGAGCGCCCCCCCAUGGCAGGAGAAAAAAGUCCAUUUUUUCUUGUCCCAUAAGGUGAAAAUUCACACUAUUGACUGUCACGCCUGUACGCUUUGUCAAAAUGACACAAAAAUUGACACACACAUGUAUCUCAAUAAGAUCUACAAAAAAGUCAGUGCGGGCGUAUCUGUCAAAUGUACGGUUAAAGGGUUAUUGCGCAUUUUUUGCCGAUCCGCACACAUUGGAAUUUCGCUAACUCCUCCGAAGGCUUUAGUUCCACCGCCACCAAAUUUGCUCAGGCCAAUCUACACCCCAUGGCCAUUAAAAGUUAUUCAAAUCAUGACGCUGCACCCCACGGUUUAGGUUCUAGGGGGCGCCAAAGAUAACCCUAAAAUCCACAUAUUUAAAAGUCUUAUAACUUUUUAUUUUUGUCCUCUCUGGCCUCCAAGUUUUCUAGGAUGAUGCAAUGUCCAGCCAUCAACACAUUUGUGAAGGAAUUAUGUUUCCCUAAAAGAGCGCCCCCCCAUGGCAGGAGAAAAAAGUCCAUUUUUUCUUGUCCCAUAAGGUGAAAAUACACAUUGUUGACUGUCAUACCUGUAUGCUUUGUCAUAUUGACACAAAAUUUGACACACACAUGUAUCUCAAUAAGAUCUACGAAAAAGUCAAUGCGCGUGUAUCUGUAAAAUGUACGGUUAAAGGGCUAUUUUGCAUUUUUUGCCGAUUAGCACACAUUGGAAUGUGGCUAACUCCUCCUAAGGCUUUCGUCCCACUGAAACCAAAUUUGCUCAGGCCAAUCUACACCCCAUGGCCAUUCAAAGUUGUAAAAAUCAUGACGCUGCACCCCACGGUUUACGUUCUAGGGGGCGCCAAAGAUGACCCAAAUAUCCACAUUCUUAAAAGAAUCCACAUCCCCCCCCCCCCCCCCCCCAUCCCCCAUCCCCCAUCCCCCAUCCCCCAUGGCAGGAGAAACAGUCAAGUUUUUCCUGCCCAUCACUCAAUGGCUCAAUUGCAUUGCUCUCCCGGCAACACCGUAACGAGGAGCAACUUGCCGUUUGGAUAUAUCCUAGCUGUGUUUGUGCCCUCACUCAUGGCCCAGACUUUUUUCAAAUAGGACAUGUAGUUUGUCUGCAGCGAGUGUUUUGGUAGAAACUGCGCCUCCCAUUCAUUAUAAUGGGAAAUGACCACAGACAAGUGCGCACACCAUCUUUGGACCUUGAGUGUGACGCGAUCGGGAGGGGGAGGCGGUCGCACUGGGGGCGGCGCAACGCGGCUCGGGCCCGCCAGUGCCCCAACGGGGCCCUAGUUAUUAUUUUUCCUCCCCUUUGAACUGGAAAAUGGCCCACUUCCCACUGGCGAAAACUCAUGAAAUUUGGAAGGACGACCGGGCCUGGUGAAAAAUUUGAUAUUCCGAAGUCGCCCAAACAAGAAAAUGCAAAAUGGCUCCAUAGCGCCCCCUAAGGUGAAAAUUCACACUAUUGACUGUCACGCCUGUACGCUUUGUCAAAAUGACACAAAAAUUGACACACACAUGUAUCUCAAUAAGAUCUACAAAAAAGUCAGUGCGGGCGUAUCUGUCAAAUGUACGGUUAAAGGGUUAUUUCGCAUUUUUUGCCGAUCCGCACACAUUGGAAUUUCGCUAACUCCUC